rnacentral:rRNA from 1 species
GAGGGCGACCGGCCACACUGGGACUGAGACACGGCCCAGACUCCUACGGGAGGCAGCAGUGGGGAAUAUUGCACAAUGGGCGCAAGCCUGAUGCAGCGACGCCGCGUGAGGGAUGACGGCCUUCGGGUUGUAAACCUCUUUCAGCAGGGAAGAAGCGCAAGUGACGGUACCUGCAGAAGAAGCACCGGCUAACUACGUGCCAGCAGCCGCGGUAAUACGUAGGGUGCGAGCGUUGUCCGGAAUUAUUGGGCGUAAAGAGCUCGUAGGCGGCUUGUCGCGUCGGAUGUGAAAGCCCGGGGCUUAACCCCGGGUCUGCAUUCGAUACGGGCAGGCUAGAGUUCGGCAGGGGAGAUUGGAAUUCCUGGUGUAGCGGUGAAAUGCGCAGAUAUCAGGAGGAACACCGGUGGCGAAGGCGGAUCUCUGGGCCGAUACUGACGCUGAGGAGCGAAAGCGUGGGGAGCGAACAGGAUUAGAUACCCUGGUAGUCCACGCCGUAAACGUUGGGCACUAGGUGUGGGCGGCAUUCCACGUCGUCCGUGCCGCAGCUAACGCAUUAAGUGCCCC